rnacentral:tmRNA from 1 species
GGGGGCGAAAAGGCUUCGACGGAGACGACGAGGUUUUGGUUGCAUGUCGAGCUUUCUAUUGACUCGUAAAAUCAAUGGAAAUAAAUAUAAUCGCAGACGAUUAUAACUACGCUGUAGCUGCUUAGGCAGCUUCCGUCCUGCUGAGAUUUUUCCUGUAGAUUUCAGUUAUAGGGCGUCGACUAUACAGGAACGCUUCGCAUAGGUGUCUGACUUAUGCGGGGUUAAACUCUUCAGACUAUGCUGAUAUGUAUCCCGCCUGAAGGAGACUUUUAGCAAAAUUUAAAGUUCAGGAUACACAUGUAGAAGCCACUGCCAACUCUUUUCGGACGCGGGUUCAACUCCCGCCGCCUCCACCA